rnacentral:piRNA from 1 species
AUGUUUGCUUAAGAAAGAUCCUGG